rnacentral:misc_RNA from 1 species
UCCGAGUUGACCCCGGCAGUCUCCUACGAGUCCCCGGCAUUACCCGCUGGCAACAUAGGACAAGGGUUGCGCUCGUUGCGGGACUUAACCCAACAUCUCACGACACGAGCUGACGACAGCCAUGCAGCGCCUCGACUACGGUCCCUUGCGGGAGAACUCCUGUUUCCGGGAGCUUUCCGCAGCCGUUCGAGCCCAGGUAAGGUUCUUCGCGUUGCGUCGAAUUGAACCGCAUGCUCCACCGCUUGUGCAGGCCCCCGUCAAUUUCUUUGAGUUUUAACCUUGCGGCCGUACUCCCCAGGCGGAUGACUUAACGCGUUAGCUGCGCCACCGAAACGCUAAGCGCCCCGACAGCUAGUCAUCAUCGUUUACGGCGUGGACUAC